rnacentral:tRNA from 1 species
CUUAUUUUGGCAGAUUUAAGUGCGCUAGAUUUAAGAUCUAGAAAUAUAGAAGAUUUUCUCUAUAAAU